GAAAUGCGAUAAGUAAUGUGAAUUGCAGAAUUCAGUGAAUCAUCGAAUCUUUGAACGCACAUUGCGCCCCUUGGUAUUCCGGGGGGCAUGCCUGUUCGAGCGUCAUUAACACAACUCAAGCUCUGCUUGGUCUUGGGGCAAGCCGAACGGUUGCCUUCAAAUCCAGUGGCGGUGCCAUUAGGUUCCGAGCGUAGUACAUCUUUCGCUUUGGGUCCUGGUGGUAGUAGCCAAAAUAUCAUGCCUUGUGCAUUCUAGUUUGACCUCGGAUCAGGUAGGGAUACCCGCUGAACUUAA
rnacentral:misc_RNA from 1 species